GACUGUAGUACUCGUUUGAUCGUCUGAUUCAUCUUAUUGAUGAAUUUCAAAAAUUUUGAAAAAAUGAGUACAUGGGCAAUCCUAGCAGUUAGAAACGAUGAAAUCAAAUGAACUAAUGCCAAAAAUGUUGAUUGGUAACACGGCAAAUUGGUUAAAUGUGUAUCAAUAUACUAUGAUGAAACAGUUGGUGGUGAUCGUGCGGAAGAUGAAAAAAACAUCUUAAAAUAUCCUGAAGAAUAUCUACAACCGUUUACACCGUCCAGUCUUCCACCGCACAAAUUACUGUAGAAAGAGGGAUGUAUCAAAGAAAGGUAACAUUAGACAACAAAGGAGAUCUUGAUAUGCCAUUCGUAUUAAAAUGUUAACAGUUUCCCAUUAGGUUAGCUUUUACAAAGACAAUUAACUAAUCUUGGAGCCAAACAUUCGAAAAAGACGUUUUAUUUAAUGGAGAGAGAAACAAAAUUCAAUCACAGGCAGUUAUACGUUGCGUUGAUGCAUAUGUAACAAUUCCCAUGAAAAUAAAAAUCUGCUUAAAUUGUACAUCCGCAUCCCCAUUAAUGAGUGGCAGACCCUCAAAGAGGCUAGGGUGUAGUGCAGGCCCGGGGGUUAGCGAGUGAAGCAAGCAGGGGGCAAAGCCCCUAGUUACUUAAUAAAAUACAUAUUGUUUUAGGUGACUUGUUACUUUUAAAAGUAAUUGGACUGUAGAACACGCAUACCUUUUUAUACUCUAAAACACUGCUUUCGAGAUUGUGCUGCUAAGUUUAGCACAGUACCUUCAGUUCAUUAACAUAAAUUUAGGAAUUUCUGAAAUAUAGAGACAUCAUUUGCCUCAGGAAAUUAAAUUUUGUGGACGCUUCCACCUGUGGCUGCUGAAAACAUUUUGUGAAGCUAAGCAGGUGAACAGAGUGGACAUGUGCAGACUACAGAAUCCUUAAGUGUAACCCAGUUAAGGAUUUACAUUGCCAAAUAACCGGGUUGCUUGCUAAGAAAUUUACUACAUCUGUUAAUCAGUUUUUUCAGAGAUAAUUAACUUGGUUUCUUUAACCGGGGAAAAAGAGUUUACAUGACAUUGUAGAACAAAUGUUUCUGUGAAUAACCAGGUUAUUAAAGCACAUGUAAGCACACUGAUUGGUUCUUUGAACUGUGUAAAAGAUGCCUCGUGGCUCAAAAAAGUGGUAUCAAAUAAACCAUAAAAACUUGUAUUUUGAAUAAUUGUAGCCCUUUGCAGAUACCUGUGGCAGCUUUUGGUUAUCAAAGAGAUGUGAUUAAAGCGCUGACCCUUGAUACACUACAGAAAAACCUGAUAGGGCUCAAACCUUUUUCUGGUUAAUGAAGCCUUUUUAGUAGUACUUUGUGAGUACACAGCAGAUUAUAGACUUGAUUUUGCAAACUAAUGUCAUAUUGUGCAUGUAUACUGUAUAUGUCAAAAUGUAAUUAGUGUUUUGUUUUUUUUUCAUCUCAAGGAUCAUCUUCAUUUGAAUGUGCACCGAAGAUUCAGAAAGCAGAAGUGAAUGGCAAGAUAAAAAUUGAAUGUGCACUAAUUCAAGAGUUUACUGACGACGUAAAGAAUGUUGUUUGGAACUUAAAUGAUAGCACAGUACUUCGCUACGAUCAAAUAGGAAACGUUUUGGAGAACACAUCACAAGGAAGAAUGGUGCCUUUUGCCUUGACCAAGACAGAAAUUGCAGUUACUAUUAUUAAUGUUCAGAUGUCAGAUUUUGGAUUCUAUCAGUGUUUUGUACACAAUGGCGAAACCACGAAAUGCUGUUCAAUUAAUCUUCAACCCAUGUUGCCUUCAACAGCUUAUAGCACAGUGGCCACAAGCAAUACCAAUGCUGCACGAAGUCCUCUCUCUCACAUCUUACCUGUUGUUGCACUGUUGAUUGUUGUUUGUAGCAUUGCUUUAAUUUACCAAAGGUAAGUAUAAUCCAGAAGAAGCGUUUCUUCAAGCAUAAAGUUAAAGAAGAAACAUUCUUUUCAGCAUUUUUGUUUUGUACAACUGCAGAGUGGAAAAAUAGGAAAGGAGCACCAUGCAAACGUUUGGGUACUCCAAAAGAUUUGAAGUCACAGAUAAUGUUUGCCAAUGUCCCAGAUCUUAAUUAGCUCAUUAGAGCUAUGGCUUGUUCACAGUCAUCAUUAGGAAAGGCAUGAUGAUGCAAAUUUCAAAGCUGUGUUAAUACUCAGACUUCUCAAACCUUGCCCCAACAAUCAUCAGCCACAUGCUCCUCUAAGUAUGCCCACAAGGCAGGACAAGGCUAUAAGAAGAUAACAGAUUGUUUUCAGUUAGCAGUUUCCUCAAUUUGUAAUUCAGUUAACAAACGGAAGUUAACAGGAACAGCGGAGGCCGAGUUGAGGUCUGGAAGACCAAGAAGACUUUCUAAGAGAGCUGCUUAUUGGAUUGCUAGAAAGGCAGAUAAAAACCUUUGUUUGACUGCAAAAGAUUUAGCAGACUUUGGAGUGGAGGUGCACUGUUCUACAAAUUUUGACCUUUCUGGAAGAGUCAUCAGAAGAACCUCUCCUUGAUACUCACCAGAAAUUCAGCAUCAGAGGUUUGCAAAUGAACAUUUGAACAAGCCUGAGGCAUUUUUGAAAUAAGUCCUGUGGACCGAUGAAGUCAAAAUGGAACCUUUCCCCACACUGUGCAAAAAUAUGUUUAGAAAAAAAAGUGUGCAGAAUGCCAAGAAAAGAACGCCUCUCUACCUGUUAAGCAUAAAGAGUGGAUCAAUCAUGCUUUGGGCUUAUGUUGCAGCCAGUGGCACAGGGAACAUUUCACUGAUAGAGGGAAGAAUGGAUUCAAUUCGAUACCAGCAAAAUUUGAAAGCAAACAUCCCACUGUCUAUUAGAAAGAUGAAGAUGAAAAGAGGAUGGCUUUUACUAAAGGAUAAUGAUCCAAAACUCACCUCAAAAUCCACAAUGGACAACCUCAGGAGACACAACCUGAAGGUUUUGGCGUGACCUUCACAAUCUCUGACUUAAACAUCAUUGAUAAUUUGUGGAUAGACCUCAAAAAGACCAGUUCAUGCAAGAAUCUCACAUAAUUAAAAGGCUUUUACAAGGAAAAAUGGGUGAAAAUGACCCAAAUAAAAACUGAAAGACUCUUAGCUUGCUUCAAAAGCUUUUACAGACUGUGAUACUUGCCAGAGGGGGUGUUACUAAGUAUUGAACAUGCAAGGUGCCCAAACUUUUGCUUCAGGCCCUUUUCCUUUUUUGUUGUUUUGAAACUGUAAAUGAUGGGAAUUUAAAAAAGCAAUCUUGCUUAAAAUAUUAAAGAAAUGUGUAUCUUUAACGUUAUGCUUUGUGGAAAUAAGGUCAUCUUUUACUUGUUUAGCAAUUCAUAGUAACCAACGUUUUGACCAAUGGUGCCCAGACCUUUGCAUGUACUGUAUGUACAGGUGUAUAUAUGUUAAGGGUUAUUUCUUUUAAGCACUUAUUACUACAGUAUAUUGGAAUUUUGUGAUAAAUUAGUUAUUAUAAGUAGGUACCACUUCACAGACACCGAACAUCCACAGAUGCUGCUCCCUGGGUCUUACCAUAAUAUGCAGUUUUAAAUUUGUUACUAUAAUGUGUCUUUUAGCCUUGUCUAAUUGCAUAAAUAUACAUGGAGUGCAAAAAAAUGAUUUCAUCCUCUUUGAAAUCUGUUAUUAUACAGCAUUGAAUCUUGGUACUAAUAUUUCUUUUGUGGCACUGAUGUAUACACACAUACACCUAACUGCAUGUUUGAAAUUUAUAAAUCCCACUGGAUUUGUAUGUUUUGGGAAUCCUUCACAGGUGGCGCAGUGGUAGUGCUGCUGCUUUGCAGUAAGGAGACUGUGGAAGAUUGUGGCUUCGCUUCCCGGUUCCUCCCUGUGUGGAUAGCGCUUUGAGUACUGAGAAAAGCGCUAUAUAAAUGAAAUGAAUUAUUAUUAUUAUUAUUAUUAUCCCUAAACAUGGUUGCUAAUUUUGUAGUAUUGUCUGUCUCUGUGUCGCUACAUAUAUAAAUACAUACGCUUUAGGUGAAUAUACAGGAAAUGUUGUGAUAGUCAAAAUUCGUGGUGCAUGGUUUCUGUGUGUUCAGUUAACAGUGAUUCUUCUUGAGUAUAAUUACACACAUUCAGUAAGUAACUUAUGCUUAUCCUUUUUGAUCCAGUUGGAGCAAAGGUCAACACAAGAGCACUCCACUCUGCACAGCCUUUUGCCAUUGCUUCUGCUUUGCUGCAGGUCAUUCCCAGAACUUUCAGUUCUUUCUCUACAGUCUUUUGCCAAUUUGUUUUUGGUCUCUUGUCCUGUGGUGUCCAACAGAGGGCUACUUUUGUGAUGUUUGCUCCUGGAAUCCUUGGUACAUGGUCUAGGCAUCCCAGGUGUUGUUGCUAUACCUGUUGAAUGAUGCAUGUGUACAUUGUAAGAUCUAGUUAGGUCCUUGGUGGAGAUCCAGCUUACCUAGAAUAAUCAAGUUAUUGUUUGGAGGUAGCCAUUGUGGAAGCUAAACAUCACUAAAAGGACAGAUAAACUGAUAAUUACAAAUUGACCUGUGUGAGUCCCAGCAAGGAACUGGUUUCCUGCCCAUGGCCGUUUCCUGUCCUGAACCCAGCGCUGGCAGGAUAUGCUUUGUGUCCCCAAGACCCUGAAUUUGAUUAAAUAGGUAUGAGAAUAUUGUGUUACUUGUGUAAAUAUAGAAAUGAAUGUAGAAGUGAGACAGAGUUCCUGAUGGGAAAUAUGUAUGCAAGCCAAUGGGAAUCUGUUAGGAGAGGAUCAAACUCAAUCCCAUCCUGAAAACACCAGUAUGUUUGUAUAAAAAGAAGACUUUUUGUUGCUUCUUAAAAUCUGCUUUUGUUGUCUGUUUCCUGUGUAGAAUUUUAAAAAGAGAAAACUCCCUGUUCCUCCAACAUGUAUGGUACCUAGUAAGAGAUUCACUGCCCUAAAUCUACAUUCACAACAGCAAUAAUGAGUGUUACUGUAGUCAUAUGAAUUACAGUUACUGCUGCUUUUUUUUGUGAAGAAAUAAACACAAAUUAAAACUUUUACUUUAUAGUGUUAGAGAUGGAUUCUUAAAAUAGUUUAGUUUAGAUUUUAUUGUAAAUUUGUAUCUUAACAUUAUACAUAAUUGGUAAGGCAAUUUCUGAAUAUUUCUAUUGUUCAUUUUUUAUUGUUGACCCUGAACAUAUUCUCUGCUGAACUAUCAGUUUAACACAAUAAAAAUAUGAAAAACUAAUCCUAUUUCCAAAGUUGGGAAGGAAGAUUUUAAAAUCCAUUUCUAAACUGAACCGAAAACCAAAAUGUGAUUGUUGAGCAUUCUUUGUAGAUAUGUAUUUCUCCUUUGCACUUUUUUGUAUUUAUAAAUUAUUCAGGGGUGCUCUAAGUCAAUUUUCCAAGUUGCAUUAAAUACUUCUGAUGGAAGGUGUUUGAGGGAUUAUAUUAAUUUGACCAUAGAGAUUCCUGUUUCUCCAGUUAAUGUCAGAAACGUUUUCAAAGAUCACGUUCUGAAAUUUGGCACUUUAGCCAGGAUAUAAUCCUCUCUCAUAUAAUAUGUUAUGGGCAAAAGUAGGUUUAUAGCUGGGAGUAUGCGAAACACAGAAUAUAUUCUUGGGUUAUUAUUUAUUUGUAUUGUUUGUCGUCUUCUUUGCCUUCUUCCUAAAGCUAUUGAGUUUGUAAAGCUACUGUAAGAAUCAUCUUCAGCUGCUCUGCACUUUAACUUCUAGAGAUAUCAGUAAUUGUUAAAAUGUGAAAAAAAAAAAUUAUUUAUUUGCUUGGGGUAUUUAGAAUUAGCUUUGGCAUCAGCCUGGGAAAAAGAACAUAAUUUUGUAAUGCAAACACAUAACUUAUAAUCUUAAAACCAUGGUUAUUUAUGUAAUCAUUGUUAAUUCCAAAUGAAGACUGGCUGUUAUCUUGGGGAUGCAUGCUGCAACAAAAGAGAGGAGAUUUUCACCAUAAUCUAGACAUUCCAAGCAGUGUCUUUUUCAGUAGGCAGCUACUGCAGGAAAUGGAACGUGACUUUGUUGCCUUAAUUUUUUACAUUACUUCCAUUUUAAAAUUCUAAACCUAAAAAGCUAUAUUUCCCCCUUAGCUACAGUUAGCAAUAAGUGUUGAGCUGCUUCAGAUCAAAGCCAUUUGGGUGAUAUUCUCAGAAAAAGAAAAUAAACAAUUAGAGACGUCUGAUAUGCCAAAAUGAGUUCUUUGCCAAACUACAUAAUUACAAAAAAAAAAAAAAAGUACCAUUAACAAUAAUAAUAAUUUCUUUCCACAUAUAAUUGUUUUGUAUGAAAAAUCUGCAUUUGAACUGCAACACUGAGUUUAAGACUUCUGCCAUAUCCAAUUACCAUCACCCUAACUCUGUGUGUUCGUUAUAAAAUCUGUCUUUCAGUAAAUUUGAAACGUUAAGUAAUUAUCAGAGAAAAUCUAAUUUGCUAUAAUUCAAAAACACUUAAUUGACAUUUUCAUGAAAAGAAAAGUAACAUAUUAUCUGUGAUAGAAUGGGAGCAGUACAAAGGAAUAGAAUUCAUGUUUUUUAAUGAACUGCAAUGAAUUUCAUCUUAGUAGUUUAUUGCAUUUAUGCAACAAACCAAUCAACAUUGUGACCACUAAGAGUCCAGUUUGAGAGCAAUACUGUAGAGCCUUGAGCCAUUGUGUGGUUACUGUUCCCAUUUUAAAGUUUACAUAGAACUCAUCAGGGAUCCUGAAGCUUUAAUUUUAAGUUGUACACUGUUUUCAAAGGCCCAUUGUACCUUUAUUUAAUCAUGAAUGAAAUUAGCUAAUGCACAGUAUAUAACUUUGAAUACCUUUUAUAUUAACAAACUGUUACUGUGGGUUAUUGAAUGCACUUUCUGUAAAAAGUCUUAAAUGUAUCGCAAUGUAUUUGACAAAAAAAGUAUUUUGUAACUUGGAAUAAAUAUUUAUAUAUUAACUUGA